UUCGUAUUCAUUCCUUUACACUUGUGUGUACAAGGUAGUUGUGGAAUUGGUAGAUUACUUGUUAGAUAUUACUGCAUGGUUGGAACUAGAAGCACAAGCAUUUCGUAUACUUGCAUUAACACCUGCUAACCAUGUGUAUGUGACAAAUAGAUUUGAUUUGAACUAUUAUAAUGUAAUAAGGUACUUACUUUGAUAGAAACGCACACAUUUACAAAGUUAUUAUUGGUAACAAAAACAACUUUGACUGCGAUGAAGGUAACAGACGGAAAAUGUGAAUACGUGUGUGCAGGAUGGGAGAUGAGCAAAUGUCUGCGGACUUGAACUGCACAAACAAUUGGGGAAUUGUGUCCGGGUCCACAAAAGUAAAAAUGUCAACUUUUAUAUGAACGAAUGAGGUGGAGCACACCUCAAUUCAAACUGUUCUUAGAAAAUAAUUAGAAAUUGACUAAUUGAAAACAGCCAAUAAAUAAAAACAGGCUGCGUACUUUGGUUUGAGGGCAGCGCGGAUUAAAUGUACUGUUACGUAACAAUCAUAUUCUGGAAUGGAGAGAACGUUCUAACAUCACGUGCAUAAACAAAUUCACACUGGGGCGAACGUUAGAGAUAUUUGGAACUCACGCAUGAAAGGGUUAAAAAGGAAGGUCCUUCCAAAGUUUCUCUCGCCCCUUCUGAAUUGGCCAAUGUAUUUUAUAAUUUCCGCGCAAUACACAUGAAUCUCAAAAUAAUAGACAUUUAAUGAGUGCAAAGCAGAAAGUGAAUAUCCAACAGAAAUUGGUAAUAAAAAGAGUAACAUUGUUAGGGUAGACUAAAAUGCAAACAAUGCCUUCCAAUAAGGAGAAAGUUAUUAUGUUUGUUUUGUUUGUUUUAAAACCUUACAAUAGGGGUAAAAGCAGAACAUUGUUUGAGUGUGAUCCGUGUGUACUAGCAGUAGUGAAUGAGAGUAUUUUUCUUUUUGGGAAGAGUAGAGGGGUCCUAGUUGAAGGAAACCAGUAUGGAGACUAGUGAAAGUAACAAAGCCAGUAAAAUGGAAAGAUUCAUGGCACUCAUGAUCUAUCAGUUGAUGUCAAAUGUUUCUUACCAUUUUUUCUCCCCAAUUGGUAGUUACAGUCUUGUCCCAUCGCUGCAACUCCAGUACGGACUCAGGAAAGGUGAAGGUCGAGAGCCAUGCAUCCUCCGAAACAUGACCCUGUCAAGCCGCACUGCUUCUUGACACACUGUUCACUUAACCCGGAAGCCAGCCGCACCAAUGUAUUGGAGGAAACACUGUACAACUGAAGUCAGUGUGCAUGCACCUGGCCCUCCACAAGGAGUUGCUAGAGCGCAAUGGUGCAAGGACAUCCCGGCCAGCCAAACCCUCCCCUAACCCGGAUGAUGCUGGGCCAAUUGUGCGCUGCCUCACAGGUCUCCUGGUUUCAGCUGGUUGCGACACAGCCUGGGAUCGAACCCAGAUGACUGUGACCUCCUCAGACCAGACCAGUUGGUAGUAUGCCCAGAACAUUGUUCUGAAAACCGAAAGGAUGAUCUCAGUUUCAAGGUCCCAGCUUUGAGAGAAGAAUCCUUGUUGGUCACAUGCAGGAACCAACAUGAAUAAUGAAUUAUGAAUUAUGUAAAUCAUGCUCAUAUGACUUGUUUGUGUAGCAGUAUAUAAGGACUGAGAGGGAACGCCCUUUUCAGAGUUUUCAUCAAGCUUCGAUUGAGUCUGUGAACCUCUCCGGCCGUGAUAAUAAAGAUUGAUUAAUUUACA